UGGACAUUUAUUCUUUGGUUUCUUCUCAAGGUGAAGAUAACUUUAUAAAUGUCCUAGAGAACUAUAGCAGCUUUCUGUUCACCCCGUGCAAGUAAAAGGGGUGGAUCCUUCCACUACUGACACAA